AUGUUCUCUUGGAGUUGUCACGCGUUUUUAGUUCUCAAGUGUUCUCCACGUUUGUGCUUUGUUUCUUCCCAUCUUGGCUUUUUCGUCGUGAGAAACAUCUAUACCAACUCUCAUCAUCCUGUUGGGUCUCAGGAAAGAUUCAUGCAGAUUCUGCUGGAUCUGCCUGAACUUUGGUCACCAAGCCACAACUCUAACCAGCCUUUUGAUUCUGAAGAUGAGGUAACUGCCCUCUACUUCGUUAAAAACCAUGGGUCAGCAACUGACAUCAAACCUGCGUUUCAAGCAACUGCGGUUGAACAUGCGUUUCAAGCAACUACGGUCGAACAUGCGUUUCAAGCAACUCCGGUCGAGCAUGCGUUUCAAGCAACUGCGGUGGAACAUGUGUUUGAGUCGAAGCAGCCGAGGCAGCGGUACAUCUGCGGCAACUGCGGUCGCGGCUACAAGUCCACAUCGAGCUUGCGUCUCCACCAGAGGGUCGUCUGCGGCAAAGAGCCCACUCACCAGUGUCACUUCUGCCAUAAAAAGUUCCACGAGAGGGGAAACUUCAAACGACACCUCCUCCUUCGCCACAACCACGUUCUGAAAACCUAGGGCAGUUUUCAAUAGAGAAAAUUUGAUGAAUUUCGCGUCAAAGUGGAAACUACCGAGUGAACUGAACACGAGGAUUAUCCUCGGUUCAUGAAUUGAAGAAUUGGUCGCCUACCUGACAUAAGGGCGUAACUACACUCUGCAAUAAACACUGUCUUUGUCUUCCAUAAAUUCAAUGAUUUUCCGGACUCAUCUCAAUGUGUAGUUACGCCCUUAUGUCAGCCAAGCGACGAAUUAUUGGAGAAGAUAGGACAAAAUGAUCUAAUCUGAUAAAAUACAUGUGUUUAAAUGGGAAAUGCCGCCAGAUGACGUCACUAGGCGGUGCAUUUUCUUACUUUUAAAUCUAUUUUCAUACUAUUUCCCAUAUCAGAAAUAAUUCUAAAAAAUACAGAAAAAUCAGCUCUUUAAGCAAUUUUAGAUGAAGCAAUAAAAAAUGUGCAUGCAUAUUCUCCAUUGUAAGAUUUCCCUCACCAUGCUUUCUGCGACCUCCUUGAAUUUGUUAUUUUGGAAAUAACCUAUCUCUUCAUUUUGAACUCUCGGUUAGAUUUUCGCCCCUGCGGAUGUUAUUCGAGCAACCACAACAUCAGCCAACUGAGUUGAGGGCCUUGAAGGGCAAGGCGCAUAAGUGCAGUUUUCGAAAAAAUUGAGAUACUUGUCAUUUCAACCAAAUCUAAGUUUGAAAUAAAUUCUGUGAAAAAUUCACCGGUAAAAUCCAAUUUUUAAGCAUCUAAAUGUGAGUUUGAACUUUCUUUCCGCCAUAAGGCUUUUUUCAUAUAAUUUAGAAACUUCAAACACGUCAAGCCCGCAAGUAUGCUUGUCCUUAAUUUAGUAACUUUUUACCAAUUAUUGUCAACGUUACUGUCCAACCAUCAGCGCCUAUAUGGUAUUUGUUGUGCCUCAUUUUUUGGUAUUCGCGUAUUUUCAUAUUGUAAAAGCUUACUUAAAAGCAAGAAUCAUACGCAAAGUUAGUACUUUCUUAUAAUUUGAAGAUAGGCACCUGUUUUGUCGUCUUUUCUUCUUCUUACAUAAUGUACCUCACUGCUGGUUUGACAAGUUUUCUCAUUUUCGAGGGAAAACCCAUUUUAAUAGCCAUGAACAUGUGCCAAUCAACUGCCAACUGUGUUUGUGCCAACUGUUCUAUUAAAGAAUGAAUAAAAAAAGUUUUUCCUAAUUUUUGUUUUAAUCAUCAAUCGAAUUUUCCCUUAAAAUGAACCGCCACUGAACACUCAGUGACCUGUCUCA
rnacentral:lncRNA from 1 species